rnacentral:rRNA from 1 species
GACAGAGGGGGCAAACGUUGUUCGGAAUUACUGGGCGUAAAGCGCGUGUAGGCGGCUUGGCAAGUCGGGGGUGAAAGCCCUGGGCUCAACCUAGGAAGUGCACUCGAAACUGCUUCGCUUGAGUGUCGGAGAGGAAAGCGGAAUUCUCGGUGUAGAGGUGAAAUUCGUAGAUAUCGAGAGGAACACCGGUGGCGAAGGCGGCUUUCUGGACGAUAACUGACGCUGAGACGCGAAAGCGUGGGGAGCAAACAGG